UUUCUACUUCCAGUAUGGCGGCUGGGACUUGCGGAGGAGGACAACUUCUUCUAGAUUCUCUCCAGAAAACCACCGGAAGCCAACAGCUGUAAUAAAACACCACCACGGCAAACUGGAUUAGGACGAAUACAGAGAACGACAGCGCAACCAGCGUCUUCCAGUGAGGUUCCCCCGAAGCACAGCAGCAGUGUGAUGCGCGGGGAGCCGCAGUGAAGAAGAAACUCCCCAGAUUUUUCCGCGUCUCUCUCCGCUCUGACUGUCAGUUAGCCGGCUAGCUGCUAGCUAGCUCACCUUUGCGCUUGCGUUCGCGGUGCGGGACUGUUGGUAGCCAAUGACGCCUCGGCUUGCUGGUUUUAUUUGCUACUGGAGACAGGUAUGGCAUAUCGCUUCCACUCGGUAAGCGAACUGGUUGAGAAGGGUGGGGAGAAAACAUUGGAGGACUUGAAUGAUAACUUUGGAAGUGCUCAUUAGCCUAGCCUAGCAUAGCCUAGCUGGUUGAACGCCAGAGACGUUGGUCGAGAGUUUGAGAUAAGCAUUUUUGCUGUAAAUGACGAUUUACUAAUCCCCUGAAUUUUGGCGGUUGAGUGUUUUGAGGCACAAACCCCCAUCGGACUGGCCUUUACCGACCCAAGGGGGUGUUUCUGGCUCUCCGGCUCUGCUAGGUGUCGUUAGCGGUCUCGUAGGUGCACUCUGGAGGGAGUGGUGACCCGACGUGAGAUGCCAAAAUAAGGCUCCCUGUAUCAGGGUAACAAGGUCACCCCGAUUAUCAUGUGCCGUUUUGACGAACAGCAGAUGACACUCGAUUAAAGUGCGUCUGGACCGGCUUGUUGUUAGCUUGCUGCGGGCAGGUAAAAGCAUCACAGCUCGUAAAAAAGGCGCAAUAGUUCAGCAAAUGUAGGGAAUAAACAGGUGGGUUUAUUUAUUUGGAGGAGCUUCUGUUGUUUUCCGCGACGAAAGAUAAACUUUGAGUGGUUUUACUGCCCAGCUUCACUGCUUGAAUAGUUUGAUGGACGUGAGGGGCUGUUUGCCAGGCUGUCAGUGCUAUAAUCAGUCAUGUAUGUCUUGACACAUGGCACCUUGGUCUGUACAUAGUGUUUGCUGUCAGAUUUAAGCGUCGUUAUGUAGCUUUAGAGGGGAGUCAUUGAAAAAGGAAUGUCUUGUCUUUUUAUACAUGUUUGGUUUGUUUUUAAUUUAACUUUUUCUCAAACGCAGGGCAGUCGAGUUGAGUCAAAGUGCAGUCCCGAGAGCGUACAGGGGACAAUGCUUAUCAGUUAGUGCCUAGAAGAUUACAGAACUUGGAGAUCUGCCUGUAUACAGGCCGCAGAUAUUGUAGAUUAUUCUUUUUUUUAGAGGGGAUGCACCAAAACCCUGCCAAUCUGGAUCAGGAAAACCUCUCCAUUGUGUCUGGUUGGAGUAACACACUCAAGCCAAAAUCAAUGCCUUCAGCACUGGCCGUGUUCACCUGCCGACCCAACUCGCACCCAUUCCAGGAGCGGCAUGUGUACCUGGACGAGCCAGUCAAGAUCGGAAGGUCUGUGGCUCGCUGCCGACCGGCCCAGAACAACGGCACCUUCGACUGCAAGGUGCUGUCCAGGAAUCAUGCUCUUGUGUGGUUCGACCACAAGACCGGGAAGUUCUACCUUCAGGACACUAAAAGCAGCAAUGGGACGUUCAUCAACAGCCAGAGACUGAGCCGCGGGUCCGAGGAGAGUCCACCCUGCGAGGUUCUGUCGGGCGACAUCAUUCAGUUUGGGGUCGAUGUCACCGAGAACACGCGCAAAGUCACCCAUGGCUGCAUCGUGUCAACAAUCAAACUGUUUCUACCGGAUGGGAUGGAGGCCCGCAGACGAAGCGAUGUCAUCCAGACUCCAUUACCACUACCUAUAGACAAGGUGGCAGCCAACACUCCCAGUAUGUACUCUCAGGAACUGUUCCAGCUCUCCCAGUAUUUACAGGAGGCCUUACACAGAGAGCAGAUGUUGGAGCAGAAGCUGGCCACUCUGCAGCGGCUCCUGUCCACCACUCAGGAGGCUUCGGAGAGCAGCUGGCAGGCUCUGAUAGAUGAGGACCGGCUGCUGUCCAGGCUGGAAGUGAUGGGCAGUCAGUUACAGGCCUACUCUAAGUCGCAGACAGAGGAAGGGAUCCGUAAGGAGCUCCUGGCUCUUCAGGAGGACAAACACAACUACGAGACCACAGCGAAGGAGUCCCUGAGGAGAGUCCUGCAGGAGAAGAUUGAGGUGGUCCGGAAGCUCUCUGAGGUUGAGCGGUCGCUGAGCAACACGGAGGACGAGUGCACCCACCUGAAGGAGAUGUCUGAGAGGGGCCAGGAGGAGCUGCAGGAGCUGGCCAACAAGUACAACGCUGCCGUCAACGAGAUCAAGGAGCUCACCGACAAGAUCAAGGCGGCGGAGGGAAGGCAGGAGGAGCUGACACUGCAGGGAGCGACGGAGAAACGGGAGCUGGAGAUGCGGAUCGAAGAGAUGGAGGAGAAGGAGCAGGUUCUGCAGGCCCGCAUCGAGGCUCUGCAGGCCGACAACGACUUCACAAACGAGAGACUGGCCGCCCUCCAGGUGCGGUUAGAACAGCUGCAGGAGAAAAGCAACAGUAUUGAUGUCUACCCUGGAUCGGUAGAGGAGCCUGUGGAAGUCAAACAGAGCCUGACUGAGAACCGGGACGAGGACGAGGCGGAAACAGACACCGAUGAUGGUGCAGUUGGUGAAGAUGGAGAGAACGAUGACAACUGUCAUGUCAACAGUGGAGAAGACUCGACUAGAAUCCCACAGUUGAUUGAGUGUCCGCCCGUCAAGCAGCUGAAGGAGAACGUCUGCUCUUCGAUACACAAACUGGCCAACUUUGAUGAAGUGAUGGAUGCCCACUUGCAGAACAACCAGGCGCCAGAAGACGACCUGCUGGCCAGUCCCGAUCGCCUCAAAGGAAACCAGAUGGACGCCAAAGAGUCCGACAUGUCCGACACGCUGAGUCCCAGCAAAGACCGGAGCAGCGACGACACGUCAGACGGCAACAUGAACGACCAGGAGCUGAACGAACCCCAGAACAGAGUCGCUCUCCUCAAAGCGGAGUUGAACCGGGCCGGUUUGGACGCUGGAGACACGGAGAACGUCAUCAGCUACCUCCACAGAGAACUUCUGGAAGCCCAGGACUUGGCCAACACCGGGAAGCAGAAAUGUCUGGAACUACAAGCUCUGUUGGAGGAGGAGAGGAGGAGUAACUCCAAGCUGACCGAGGAGUCAACCAAACAGAUCCAGUACCUGCAGACUCAGCUCGGGAAGCUGCAGGCCGACAUGGAGGCCCUGAAGGAGCAGAGGGAGAGCACCAUCUGCAGCACCAGGGAGGAUCUGUACUCCGCCCAGGAGGAGAUUCUCGUCCUGCGACACGCCAUGGAAACGGCCACAGCUGAGCGUGAGCGCGAGAUCGCCGCCUUGCAGGCAGACCUGGGCGGCGUGCGCACGGAGCUGGAGCAUUGGAGGAGCACGGCGGCCAAGUACGAGGAGGAGAUCAGCCGGCUGCAGGAGGCCUUUGCUCAGCAGCAGCAGCAGCAGAACACGGCCAGCCAGCUGCAAGAGGAGUGUGCAACUUUGCAGCAGCGCUGUGCGUCUCUGCAACAGGACUGUGACGGUCUGAGAGCCGAGCGGAGAGACCUGACGGACAAACUGCAGCACCUGGAGGCGGAGCUCAGCAGUACCAGGGAGCAGAGUCUGGUCCUCAGCAGCAGUCUGGAGUCUCUGGAGAAGCGGAAAGAGGUUCUGCAGGACCAACUGGGUUCUCUGGAGAACCAGCACCUGGAGGACGCCAGCCGGCUGAAGACGCAGCUGGACCAGGCCCAGGCCCGAACACACACCCUGCAGAAAGAGUACGAAGACACUCAGUCUCAGCUGUUUGACCUGCGGCGGCGCUACGAGAAGACGGAGCAGGAGAAGCUGAACAUCCACCAGGAGCUGGAGCAGUGCCGCAGCAGCCUGAAGCUGCUGCAGGACAAGACCAGCUCUCCAUCCAUAUUGCAGCCUGUCCAAGCCAUAUUCAUGGGCCUUGUCCUGGCUCUGCUGUACUGGUGUUUCGGCCAGUUGUGGUAGAAAGGUACACACCGACAUGACAUGAGUCUGUCCGCUGCCUCCAUCUGUCCGUCUGUCUCUGUGACCUCUGGAAGGAAAGUCUGCUGAGGGUCACUGACUCGGCUGGGAAAACCGAACCCUGAACAGAUCAGCAGGACUUUGACUUCACCUCCUGAACUUCCUCUCUUCAUCUUCAUCUUCAUCAUGUGUGAGCAGCUCUGACCGCAUGGCCGUCAUUCACACUAAGAUCCUCCAGGGGGCAGCAGACUCCCAGCACACAUGGACCAUUUAUUUAAAGGGAUACCGCCACGCACUGUAAAAGCUACUUCAACCUUAAUAAAAUUACUACAAUUUAAAGCAAAUGUAACGUAACACUUUUCAAAAUAAAAGUCUCAGUUAGAAAUGACUUCAUUGUGAAAUAUUCUCAGAUUUCAGUGAGUUCAAUCAUGAAACAUGACUAAAGGAAACAUCCUUCACAUUACGACCGAAUUGUUUCUUGAUUGUAAUAAUGAUAAUCUAGUUAUUGUUGGUCCAGUCAAAGCCCAGACGUGAUGAGGCCAAACUCCUGGUAUCUCUUUAAAUCACUAACAGCUCCUCCGUUCACCGCUGCGCUCUCCUUCAUCCUGUUUUUAUUUUCUGCAGGAUUUGUUGGUUCAUUAAUCACUUUUCUUUGCUGCAUGCCGUUUGCUGUUUGUUUGCAGGUUUUUUUGUUUUGCUCUCAAACUGGGUUUUGUUUCCUGCAGCCAUUGGCAGAUUCAUUGUCAUUUCCAUCGUUUGCUUUUUGCUUUUAUUUGGUGCAGCUUUCUCUUUUUCUGCUUCUGUUCUUUAAUUAUUUCUUUUUUUUGUCUCCUGCAGUCCUAAAAGUGAUAAAUAUGGUUUUCCUUUUUGUAUAUUUACGUUGUUUUCAAUAAAUUUAUUUGCAUUCCUCCUCCUUCUUAACCAUCUGAGGGGAAGAUCUCAUUAAGAAGCCUUUCCUUCAUGUCACAAUGUUUGCAGAGCGCUGCCUGUUCUCAGCAGCUGCACAUCUGUGGUGCGUUUGAACAGAUGACAGGAGAAUUGAAAGGUUGACUCGGUCUUGAACAGCGUUCAGGUAUCCGUGAUAAACGAGCCGGGCCUGGACGGUGCCGAGGUGCAGACAGAUUUUUAUGAAGCGGAGAGAAACGACCGUUCUGGUCGAGGAGAAGAUGGAGAAAAUUCAGCGCGUUUAGGAGUCCAAACCCGCUGGAAGAGAAACGAGGAUCUGGAUCAGUUCCUACCAGGACAGCAGACACCUGCAGCUGAUUGAGACAUUUUAUUUCUUACAGCUUUAUUCGCUUCAGUUCUCAAGUCACCAGAACGAGAGAACAUGUUCAGAGCUGGUGUUAUUUAGGUUUUAAACUCUAAAUUAUCAUAAAAUUAGCUCCAAUAGGCCUGUCACUAUAAAUUGUCCCAGAAAUUAUUGCAAAAAACUAAAAUCUUGUUGUUUUGGGACCAAUUUCAAGUAAUCUAAUGGCAGGAACACAAAGAUCUCAAAGAUCAAUAAACUUUAAAUUCUACGGAACAUUUGACGCUGGAACUGGAAGACAUUUUAAUGAUCCAAAAUAAAUAAAUGAACAAACAAAAUGAACUAUGGUGUGUCUGUAAGCAGCAGUGUCCUUCAGAAUAAGGGCCGGUUGAGACCAAAGCACCAGAAUCAAGACUUUGGUCAUCCAGUUUUUGGUAGAAGGAGAGAAACGAUAAACCAGGCGCAUGGAAACUAUUGAGUUUGUUUUAAUUUAUCAUGUGAUUAUUUAUUGCGACAAGCGUAGCAGGAAACAAAAAGCUCAAUCCCUUUUCAGCUCUUCAAUGUCCUGAGAUUAUUUUGGCUUUGCAGAGAAACUCCCAACAGAUUCGCAGUUCAUCAGCACAAGUAGAAAAACUGCGUCUGCAAGAAUCACAGCCACCAAACAGACGUGGUUCUGUUCACAGAAUCGCUGUCCAAACCGGAAAAUUUAAACCACAAAAUCCAUCAAAUAAAAACACAAAAUCGUAUCAAAUCUGUUGAUUAAAGAUCCAAAACAUAAAAAUGGAUUCUGACCUUUUAUUAAAAGAAAAAGAGGAAAUCUAAACAUUUUCUGGAGGCAUCAGUCAUUUUUAAUUUUCCUGGCCAAAUUUUUAUUGUUCUUGACUUUGAUUAAAAAUGUCAUUUCAAGUGCCUAAAUUGGCCCACGGGCCACCCUUUGGACACCCUUGAUUUAUAAAGCAUGGCUCAUAUUUGUCAGCUGGAUUGUGACCCGGUACCACUUCAGGUCCAAUGAAAAGAUUAGAAACAUGGUUUUAAUUUAAAAACAGAGAAUAAAUAUUAUCUUUUGGACUGACUUUUACCUCUUCUCUCAUCCUUCAGGGUGAUUUUCUGACGCUCUCUUUGGUCCUUGUUGGGUCUGGUUCUGCUGACUAACCGGGUUUGGUUCGUUUUUUGUUUUUUUCCC